CCCCAGUAACGGCGAGUGAAGCGGCAACAGCUCAAAUUUGAAAUCUGGCCCCUCGGGGCCCGAGUUGUAAUUUGCAGAGGAUGCUUUUGGCGAGGCGCCGCCCGAGUUCCCUGGAACGGGACGCCACAGAGGGUGAGAGCCCCGUCUGGCUGGCCGCCGAGCCUCUGUAAAGCUCCUUCGACGAGUCGAGUAGUUUGGGAAUGCUGCUCAAAAUGGGAGGUAUAUGUCUUCUAAAGCUAAAUACCGGCCAGAGACCGAUAGCGCACAAGUAGAGUGAUCGAAAGAUGAAAAGCACUUUGAAAAGAGAGUUAAAUAGCACGUGAAAUUGUUGAAAGGGAAGCGCUCGUGACCAGACUUGGGCUUGGCGAAUCAUCCGGGGUGAUCCCCGGUGCACUUCGCCUCGUCCAGGCCAGCAUCAGUUCGCCGCGGGGGAUAAAGGCGUCGGGAACGUGGCUCCUCCGGGAGUGUUAUAGCCCGUCGCGCAAUACCCCACGGCGGACUGAGGACCGCGCAUCUUGCAAGGAUGCUGGCGUAAUGGUCACCGGCGACCCGUCUUGAAACACGGACCAAGGAGUCGUCUUCGUAUGCGAGUGUUCGGGUGUCAAACCCCUACGCGUAAUGAAAGUGAACGCAGGUGAGAGCUUCGGCGCAUCAUCGACCGAUCCUGAUGUUCUCGGAUGGAUUUGAGUAAGAGCAUACGGGGCCGGACCCGAAAGAAGGUGAACUAUGCCUGUAUAGGGUGAAGCCAGAGGAAACUCUGGUGGAGGCUCGCAGCGGUUCUGACGUGCAAAUCGAUCGUCAAAUAUGGGCAUGGGGGCGAAAGACUAAUCGAACCUUCUAGUAGCUGGUUUCCGCCGGAGUUUCCCUCAGGRUAGCAGUGUUGAACUCAGUUUUAUGAGGUAAAGCGAAUGAUUAGGGACCCGGGGGCGCUAUUUAGCCUUCAUCCAUUCUCAAACUUUAAAUAUGUCAGAAGCCCUUGUUGCUUAAUUGAACGUGGGCAUUCGAAUGUAUCAACACUAGUGGGCCAUUUUUGGUAAGCAGAACUGGCGAUGCGGGAUGA
rnacentral:rRNA from 1 species